rnacentral:lncRNA from 1 species
CUGAUACAGUCCAUAGAACAACCAUAGUAUCUAAAGAAUUUUGAGUUUCAGCAUGUAUGCCAUUCAGUUCAAAUGGAAACAGAAUGCUGAAUUCAUCUUGUAGUUGAUGUAUACAUAAUCCUCCAUUGCUUCCUCAAUGGUGGUUUAAAAGCCACAAUCUCUCCAUAGUUACUUGAACUAAAGUUACAUAACACAUUCAGUGCCAGCACCUUUUAAAAUUUUAAAUUGUUUGCUCUACACUAUCAUUCUCCACCACACAUUCACACAAUAAAAUAUUCUACACACAAAUCAAUAUAGUUUCUUUACUUUUUAACCACACAUUCUUCAAGAAAUACUAUUCAAAACUUUUAACUUUCCAAAACAAAUAGGGGCUCACUCUGCUCGCGUUCUUUGCAUGACUCCCUCCUGGCUCAUUAACAACACCAAGAACCACCACGGACCACUGCAAAGAAAUGAUGACAACACCACCAAGCAAACCUCAACUAUCACACAAUCAAGUGCCCACCAUUAACAACCCAAUUACCCUCUGAAACCCCAAUACCACUGAAAUCUAAGCAUGGACUCAACACCACAAUUAGAAGACAACAACUAUGAAAAAAUAAAAAUUAAAAAUUAGAUAUAGACAUUUGUUUCUUUUGCUGUCAGACAAACCUGUAUAGUUGCAAAAUUAUACAGAUUUAGGAGUUGCUGAAUUAUACCAUACAAACCUGGAUAGCUCACUCGAGGAGGUUCUCUGCAUAUGCAUUUAGUGACAAUUGUAAUUAUAUUUGUUUUUCAUUUUGAGUUGUGACUGAAUAUGGUAUCAAAUUUCAAUGGCAUGUAAAGUGUAAACUGUUCCUUCUCAAUGACUGAAUGGGGUGAUCAAUCAAGUUUCAUUUGUGAGCAGUUUUUUCUCCCUUUUUAAUUGAAGGGAACUCAAUCUUCUAUUAUUCGUGUCAACACUGUUACCAGUUUUGCGGACUUCAAUAUAUUAAAGGGGUUGGUUAAGUGAUGCAAUCAAGAUAUGAGAGAGAGCUUUAUAUGCAACCAUAACAUGCUAAAGAGCAGCUAUUUGGAGGAGAAAUUAGAAUGGGAUAAUCAAGUUUAUCGUGUAUAGCAGCAAAAUAACAAUACAAAUUAUGGAAUUUGUUACCAGAUAAUGUGUAAUCUAUACAAGGAACCAUCAUUUAAUAAGCAACAGCAUUGCAAGACUCCGUGCAAUUUCAAGUUAACUCUACAACUAAAAUUGAUUUGUUUUCUGAGGUAUGAUAUCAAAGAAAGAUUACACAAAAGAGAACGAUCAGUGGAAUCGUCCAGAACAAAUUCACAAACAUAUUACCAUCAAGCUAAUCAGCAUGCUUUCCGGUACAAGAAGUGGAAGAUGAAACCAAAUUCCUCCAGAGAUAACUUCCGCUUGCCAUUUCCACAAAGGUCCACCCACCCACCCUUAUUGCUCCACAUACCUGCAAUCGCAUUAUAACAACAAAUUGGCACCACAUUCACACAUAAACAAAAAUUAAACAAUAAUAUAACAGAGCAAAAACGAGAGACCUUGGAGAAAACGGUGAUGGCAUCAGGUGAUUCAAUUUCUUUGUCGGUUGGGGACUUCACGUCGUCGUUUUCGGGGUUGAUAGGAGGGGCUUUGAGGUUUCUGAGGACGAAAAACCCCGCAAGGGUUGCAGAGAGGAAGAUCAAAAUUAUUCUGAGAGGGCACAUUUCGCAGUCUCUCUCUCUCUCUCUCUCUCUCUCAGGGGAGGUUUUAGAGCGAGAAAGGAAAGUGAAAUUAUUGAGACGAAGAGGGAGAGUCAAUGGUGUAAGAAAAGUAUCGUAGUGGUUGUUUCAAGGGUGACCUAUUCUUGUUCAAAGUUAUUUGGUAACAAAAUUACGUAAUUGGUCCUUAAAAUAUAAUUCUUCAAACAACUUGGUCAUUAACUUUAUUCUUAAAACUCCAUGCACUCAAAACUUUUGUUAAAAGACUAAUAUAUAUUCUUCUUAGUUGUAAUUAAUAAUAAAAAUAAAUAAAUAAAGGAAACGUACUCGUCUACUCACUUAUACUGCUUGCUCUUUCAAGAAUAAAAAGUUCAACCCCUGAACCAAAUGGAGGACGCAAAAAUUGAAGAGGGGUUGGGUAGCACAAAUAAGUAGAUUGAAGGACUAGUGUUAGGGGAGGUUUUAGAGCGAGAAAGGAAAGUGAAAUUAUUGAGACGAAGAGGGAGAGUCAAUGGUGUAAGAAAAGUAUCGUAG